AUUGAACGCUGGCGGCAGGCCUAACACAUGCAAGUCGAGCGAGCGGCGGACGGGUGAGUACUGUCUGGGAAACUGCCUGUUGGAUGGGGAUAACAACUGGAAACGGCAGCUAAUACCGCAUACCAUCAGAUGUGCCCAGAUGGGAUUAGCUAGUCGGUGGGGUAAUGGCUCACCUAGGCGACGAUCCCUAGCUGGCCUGAGAGGAUGACCAGCCACACUGGGACUGAGACACGGUCCAGACUCCUACGGGAGGCAGCAGUGGGGAAUAUUGCGCAAUGGGCGCAAGCCUGAUGCAGCCAUGCCGCGUGUGUGAAGAAGGCCUUCGGGUUGUAAAGCACUUUCAGCGGGGAGGCGUUACCCGCAGAAGAAGCACCGGCUAACUCCGUGCCAGCAGCCGCGGUAAUAC
rnacentral:rRNA from 1 species